rnacentral:rRNA from 1 species
CAGUAGCCGCGGGAAUACGUAGGGUGCGAGCGUUAAUCGGAAUUACUGGGCGUAAAGCGGGCGCAGACGGUUACUUAAGCAGGAUGUGAAAUCCCCGGGCUCAACCUGGGAACUGCGUUCUGAACUGGGUAACUAGAGUGUGUCAGAGGGAGGUAGAAUUCCACGUGUAGCAGUGAAAUGCGUAGAGAUGUGGAGGAAUACCGAUGGCGAAGGCAGCCUCCUGGGAUAACACUGACGUUCAUGCCCGAAAGCGUGGGUAGCAAACAGGAUUAGAUACCCCAGUAGUCCCUGUCUCUUAUAA